GGGUUGUGAGGUUAAGCGACUAAGCGUACACGGUGGAUGCCCUGGCAGUCAGAGGCGAUGAAGGGCGUGCUAAUCUGCGAUAAGCGCCGGUAAGGUGAUAUGAACCGUUAUAACCGGCGAUACCCGAAUGGGGAAACCCAGUGUGACUCGUCACACUAUCAUUAACUGAAUCCAUAGGUUAAUGAGGCGAACCGGGGGAACUGAAACAUCUAAGUACCCCGAGGAAAAGAAAUCAACCGAGAUUCCCCCAGUAGCGGCGAGCGAACGGGGAGGAGCCCAGAGCCUGAAUCAGCAUGUGUGUUAGUGGAAGCGUCUGGAAAGGCGCGCGAUACAGGGUGACAGCCCCGUACACAAAAGCGCAUGUGCUGUGAGCUCGAUGAGUAGGGCGGGACACGUGGUAUCCUGUCUGAAUAUGGGGGGACCAUCCUCCAAGGCUAAAUACUCCUGACUGACCGAUAGUGAACCAGUACCGUGAGGGAAAGGCGAAAAGAACCCCGGCGAGGGGAGUGAAAAAGAACCUGAAACCGUGUACGUACAAGCAGUGGGAGCACCCUUUGGGUGUGACUGCGUACCUUUUGUAUAAUGGGUCAGCGACUUAUAUUCUGUAGC
rnacentral:rRNA from 2 species